AUCUUUCGUAUAUUAAAUACAAUUCUUAUUUAUUGUUAGUCAGAAAAAUGACGUGGUGGUUUGCCAAAGUACUAAUCAAAUUAUUCAUAUUUUUUACCAUAAGUAAUCACAUUUUGACAGAAAGUUCAAAACUAAAUAUUUUGGAUUAUGUUAAGAAAAAUUUGUAUAAUUUUCGUAAUAACAAUUUGAAAGAUUUUAUUUUUACACUCUCGAAUUCGUCAAAGUACAUUAACAAUCGAAUAAAUUUCAAAUCAAAUCAAGUCGAUUGUUUCGGUUUAGGAAAAGGAUUAGCUAGAAUUUUGGAAUGGUUUUUUUUGAGUAAACCAAAUGGAACAAAUGCUUUGGAUGUUCAAUUUUUCCUUUCUUCAAGAAAACAACCAAAACGUGUUCAAGUUAUGAUUGGUAAACAAUUUGGUUUAGAAUGGACAGACUUUCAAAUCGAACGAUUAACAAUCAUUAUAGUUCAUGGAUUCUUAUCUCAUGGUCAAGAAUUAUGGAUUAAUGAAAUGGAAAAAUCAUUCCUUCUAUGGAAUGACGUUAAUAUCAUAGUUGUAGAUUGGAGUGCUGGAGGUAAUACUUGGAAUUAUUAUAAAGCUGCAGUUAACACGAAAAUAAUAGGAUAUCAAAUUGCAAGAUUUUUAGAACACAUAACAAAUGCAACAAGUGCUCAAAAUGAUUUCAACGAUAAUUGGGGGCAAUUACAUUUAGUAGGCCAUAGUCUCGGAGCACAUAUUUGUGGUUUUGCUGCGAAAGAAUUGAAAAAAAGGAAAAACAAAUGGAAAAUACUAAGAAUAACAGGAUUAGAUCCUGCACAACCUUGUUUCAGAAAUGUAGACUCCAGUAUGAAACUUCAUAAAUCUGAUGCGUCAUUUGUCGAUAUUAUUCAUACUAAUGGCAGAUUACUUUCUAAAAUCGGAUUAGGUUUACCAGAACCAAUAGGUCACAUUGAUUUCUACCCUAAUGGUGGUAGAACUCAGCCUGGUUGCAUAAAGAUCAAUUCUUCGUAUUUCGAAUAUUUACCAAUUCCACUUAAAUUAAUAAUGCUAUAUGCAGUCAUGGACGUUCAUAUAUUUAUUUGACGGAAUCUUUAGUUUCUGAGGUGAAACAAAAUUGUACUUUCUGGGCGCACCAUUGGAAUUUAUCUUACCAAAACUUGUUGCAAAUAGUAACAGAAUCUUGUGAUAAAAAUAUUUGUACUGAAAUGGGUAUAAAUGCAAUAAAGUAUUCUCAUCGAGGAAUAUUUUUUGUCGCAACUUCCGAUACUUCACCUUUUUGUAUUAAUGACACUCACAUAAUUGCUGAACUAGUAAUUCAAAUGAAAAAAGAUUUCCCAGACGAAUUUUAUAAUUAAGACGAAUAAUUUAUGAAUAAAUUAAUAUGUAAAUUUUUGAUUGAUAAAUAAAAGAACUUUACUUCAAAUU